rnacentral:rRNA from 1 species
UUACAGAUGGGCAUGCGUGCCAUUAGCUAGAUGGUAAGGUAACGGCUUACCAUGGCAAUGAUGGCUAGGGGUUCUGCAAGGAAGGCCCCCCACACUGGUACUGAGACACGGACCAGACUCCUACGGGAGGCAGCAGUGAGGAAUAUUGGUCAAUGGAGGCAACUCUGAACCAGCCAAGCCGCGUGAAGGAAGACUGUCCUAUGGAUUGUAAACUUCUUUUGUGGCAGAAUAAACUACCGUACUUGUACGGUAUUGCAUGUAUGCCAUGAAUAAGCAUCGGCUAACUCCGUGCCAGCAGCCGCGGUAAUACGGAGGAUGCAGGCGUUAUCCGGAUUUAUUAGGUUUAAAGGGUGUUCAGGCUGCCUGGUAAGUCAGGGGUGAAAGUCGGUUGCUCAACGAUCGAAUUGCCUUUGAAACUGUCAGGCUCGACUAUGGAUGCGGUAGGCGGAAUGUGUAGUGUAGCGGUGAAAUGCAUAGAUAUUACACGGAACACCGAUUGCGAAGGCAGCUUACCAAACCAGCACUGACGCUGAAGCACGAAAGCGUAGGGGAGCGAGCAGGAUUAGAUUACCUGGUAAUCCACGCCGGUAACUUUGCUCACUCGCUGUUGGCGAUAGACAGUCAGCGUCCAAGGGAAACCGAGUAGUGAGCCACCUGGGGAGUACGGCUUCAAGGUUGAAACUCAAAGGAAUUUACGGGGCCCGCACAAGCGUUGGAACAAUGUGGUUUAAUUCGAUGAUACGCGAGGAACCUUUACCUGGGCUUAAAUGUGAAGUGCAUUGAUUGGAAACAAUCAUUUCCUUCGGGACCCUUUACAAGGUGCUGCAUGGUUGUCGUCAGCUCGUGCCGUGAGGUGUCGGGUUAAGUCCCAUAACGAGCGCAACCCCUAUUGUUAGUUACCAGCGCGUGAUGGCGGGGA